ACUUGCUGGUUGUGUUUGGGGAAGAGGUUUAUGACAAUGGCCCUAUAGGACUGGGAACAUAUUCUGUUUCCACUGGGACUAUGAGCCACCAUGCUGCUUGGUACUGACUACUUCCCAUUAUAAAAUGAAGCUUCUUGACCAAGUUUUGGUGUAUCCAGGUCUCUGGUACAUUCUGAAGGGUUCACCCGAGGGCUGUGCUGGAGCAUAUAGGUGCCACAGUCCCUGCUUGCCGCAGUCUCAGACCUGCAGAGACAAGACUGACAAAGACACCAAGGUGGGUUUAUGCAGCAACUUCUUUACUUCCUGCUUUUUCCCCUCCAGCUUGCUUUCCCAGCAGGUUCUUCUUUCUCCAUCCUUCUUUCAGCAAGGGCUAAACUCCUAUCCUCGCAGCGACUGGCCUCACCUUGCUCCAAACCACCUCAUACAAUCAGGAUCACACACACCCCAGGCUCAGGUCGGUCACAGAUAGGCAGACAGAUCCAGAUCACAAGGAA